rnacentral:rRNA from 1 species
CCUACGGGAGGCAGCAGUGGGGAAUAUUGCACAAUGGGCGCAAGCCUGAUGCAGCCAUGCCGCGUGUGUGAAGAAGGCCUUCGGGUUGUAAAGCACUUUCAGCGGGGAGGAAGGCGUUAAGGUUAAUAACCUUGUCGAUUGACGUUACCCGCAGAAGAAGCACCGGCUAACUCCGUGCCAGCAGCCGCGGUAAUACGGAGGGUGCAAGCGUUAAUCGGAAUUACUGGGCGUAAAGCGCACGCAGGCGGUCUGUCAAGUCGGAUGUGAAAUCCCCGGGCUCAACCUGGGAACUGCAUUCGAAACUGGCAGGCUAGAGUCUUGUAGAGGGGGGUAGAAUUCCAGGUGUAGCGGUGAAAUGCGUAGAGAUCUGGAGGAAUACCGGUGGCGAAGGCGGCCCCCUGGACAAAGACUGACGCGCAGGUGCGAAAGCGUGGGGAGCAAACAGGAUUAGAUACCGAGUAGUC